GGAGUGGUAGUUCAGUUGGUUAGAAUACCGGCCUGUCACGCCGGGGGGUCGCGGGUUCGAGUCCCGUCCACUCCGCCA
rnacentral:tRNA from 2 species